CCUACGGGAGGCAGCAGUGAGGAAUAUUGGUCAAUGGCCGGGAGGCUGAACCAGCCAAGUCGCGUGAGGGAAGACGGCCCUACGGGUUGUAAACCUCUUUUGUCAGGGAGCAAGGUGCAGGUCGGGACCUGCUGUGAGAGUACCUGAAGAAAAAGCAUCGGCUAACUCCGUGCCAGCAGCCGCGGUAAUACGUAGGGGGCAAGCGUUAUCCGGAUUUACUGGGUGGAAAGGGAGCGUAGACGGUGCAGCAAGUAUGAGGUGAAAGGGCGGGGCCCAACCCCGGAACUGCAUUUGAAACUGUUGUACUGGAGUACAGGAGAGGUAAGCGGAAUUCCUAGUGUAGCGGUGAAAUGCGUAGAUAUUAGGAAGAACACCAGUGGCGAAGGCGGCUUACUGGACUGUAACUGACGUUGAGGCUCGAAAGCGUGGGGAGCAAACAGGAUUAGAUACCCUGGUAGUC
rnacentral:rRNA from 1 species